rnacentral:rRNA from 1 species
GUCCGGAAUUAUUGGGCGUAAAGCGCGCGCAGGCGGCCUCUUAAGUCUGAUGUGAAAGCCCCCGGCUCAACCGGGGAGGGCCAUUGGAAACUGGGAGGCUUGAGUAUAGGAGAGAAGAGUGGAAUUCCACGUGUAGCGGUGAAAUGCGUAGAGAUGUGGAGGAACACCAGUGGCGAAGGCGACUCUUUGGCCUAUAACUGACGCUGAGGCGCGAAAGCGUGGGGAGCAAACAG